GCGGGUGUAGCUCAAUGGUAGAGCAGUAGCUUCCCAAGCUGAUGACGAGGGUUCGAUUCCCUUCACCCGCU
rnacentral:tRNA from 1 species